UUCUGCUUAUCCUUUUGAGGAUCACUGGGGGAGCUGGAGCCAAUCCAAGCUGACACUGGGCGAGAGGUUGCAGUCCUCCAGCUGCUGGUAGACGCUCCUCCUGUACUCCUCCAUCAGCUCCUUCUUCUUCUUGGCCAGGUCAUAGUCUUCCUUUUCUAUGGCACAUUGCUUCUCCACAUCAUAUCGAGCCAAGCGCUCCCCCACCUGGAAGAGCCCAGGACAUGUAGAGGUUAAGGCAGCCCUGCAGUGACCCAGUCCUCCACAGCACUAAAACCUUGGACUUUAUCCAGAUGGCCUUCAUCAACUGACUGGCUUUUACGUCAUGUCCAUCAAGUUCACCCUGAACUUGGGAAAUCUGCCUUUUCUUUUAGUGUAACUGACUCUGUCACUGUUAUUGAUUCUCCUUUGUUUCAUCCUCUUUUUUCUGUGCUUGUACUCUAACUCGAUAUCACCGGAAAUGAGGUUCACUCCACAGUGAUAUCUCAAGUUCAAAGAUUCUAUUUAUUUUAGUAACACUACUCACACUGAGAGUUUUUUGCUUUUUACAGGCUGUCAUCCUGGUUCCUUUUAGAGCUCUUAUACUUUCUGUAGUCCUGCACAGUUUUCCUAUUCAGUGAGAGACUAUUAUUUAAGGUGUCCUCACUUUCACCUUUUUUCAUUGCCUCCAAAUAAAGUGACUAAGAUAUUCAGGCUAAAUCGACAGCUUGUACACGUUGAACCCUCUAAUUGUUCCACCUUUGACUUCACUGUACUGUUGUCACCUUGUUCCCUUAUCUCACCAAUUUAUUUGGUGAACACAAUGUUAUUGUAGCAAUA